rnacentral:rRNA from 1 species
UACGUAGGGGGCUAGCGUUGUCCGGAAUCAUUGGGCGUAAAGAGCGUGUAGGCGGCCCGGUAAGUCCGCUGUAAAAGUCAAAGGCUCAACCUUUGAAUGUCAGUGGAUACUGCCGGGCUAGAGUCCGGAAGAGGCGAGUGGAACUCCUGGUGGAGCGGUGAAAUGCGUAGAGAUCUGGAAGAACACCAAUGGCGAAGGCAGCAUCCUGGGAGGCAUCUGACGCUGAGGAGCGAAAGCCAGGGGAGCAAACGGG